rnacentral:rRNA from 1 species
UCGCCUACGGGGGGCAGCAGUGAGGAAUAUUGGUCAAUGGGCGGAAGCCUGAACCAGCCAAGUCGCGUGAGGGAAUAAGGCCCUACGGGUCGUAAACCUCUUUUGUCAGGGAGCAAUUGAGUCCACGUGUGGGCUUAGCGAGAGUACCUGAAGAAAAAGCAUCGGCUAACUCCGUGCCAGCAGCCGCGGUAAUACGGAGGAUGCGAGCGUUAUCCGGAUUUAUUGGGUUUAAAGGGUGCGUAGGCGGAAUAUCAAGUCAGCGGUAAAAAUUCGGGGCUCAACCCCGUCUU